AUCCCAAACAUGGGUGCAUUAUUGCACUAUGUUUUGCAUUAAUGAGCCCAAAUUCGGUUAAAGGUUUUGCACAUACAUGAUUGAUAAAUUUCUGAAAAAUUAAGAUCUGAAGCAUUAAAUGGUACAUAACUC